rnacentral:tRNA from 2 species
GGAGAGGUGGGUGAGUGGUUGAAACCGCACGCCUGGAACGCGUGUAGGCCUUAACCGGUCUCGAGAGUUCGAAUCUCUCCCUCUCCGCCA